UAUGCUUUAUUGCUCAGGCAGGAGUCUGCAUCCCUCCCAUGGCUUAGUUUAGCUUCUGUGGCCUGAGGAGCCUCCUGGGCUGCUUCCAUUGCAUCGUGCCACAACAAAGGGGACUCAGCCUGAGUCACUCAGCAGUAGAUCUGUUUGGGAGUGCUGUGGACAUUCACCUCUGUGUCAGCUUGCUGAGUAUAGGAAGGUCCCAUAGUGGGUGACAUUGCAUUGCUAAUUAGUGCUGAACUAUUAAUAUUGUCUGAGAUGGAGGCUUCUCUCUGGUUUAGAGAGUGCUGCUCAGUUUCUAAAGGUCACUGUUGCCUCAGAUGAGUUCUGAUAAGUGCUAUUCCGUGAGCUCCAGAGUUCAAAAUGGAAACCUCAAACAAACCUUAAGCACUGCUGAUGUACUGUGCAGAGAGGACAGAGCAUUGGCUGAUGUCCACAGGCUCCUCACUGCAUCUACAACAGUUAUUCCCACCUAGGACUGCAGCCAUGGGCCAUCAUCAGAGGCAUGUCUCACCUGCAUCUUUCCCAGACAAGCUGCAGGAGACUUCAGGAAAACACUUAACUAUGGAAAAGAGAGAGAAAACAUUCUUCCUCUGUUCAUAUUUUACAACAGAUCCGGGAGCAGCUCCCAGAGUUGUGGUGACGAGUGGACAAGAACUUCUGGGGAGGAUGGUUUACCUGCAUCCUCAUCAGUGCCUGAAGAAGGAUGAGAGAAGCUUGGCCUUUUGCUGCUGCAGCAUGACAAACCACUGCACACCACCACCUCUUAUGCCCCCGGCUCAGCAGAAAGAUAAGGGCCUCUCCAGGGCUUUUGCUGCCUCCACCACCGUGGGUCAACAUCCAGGAAGGAAGACGUUUCUAAGGAAACCACGGAGGCUUUCCACCAAGGUGGUUGCAUGAAAGCGCUGAACUGGUGAGAGUGACAAAAAGCAGUUCAUUGGAUAAUGUAGAAAAAGGUAAAAAGUUAUUGCACACAGACUGUUUUUAUAAUGAGGCCAUUCAGGCAUAAAAUCACUUUAAAUAGGUAGUUUGUUUCCACAUUGCAGAAUUAUUUUCGUCCUACUCUUUCAAGGGGCAGUUUAUCUAGGCACAGUGGUGUAUAAAUAAUAAAUAGCCCUAGGGGCAAGGCAUUUUUACUUUUUUUUCCCCUGCUUCGUAUCCUGUUGCAGUUGGUCUCGGGCUGCAAAAUGAAUUUUGUUUUCUAAAAUAAUAUUAUUUACUUUGAGUGCAG
ensembl:lncRNA